rnacentral:rRNA from 1 species
CAGCCGCCGCGGUAAAACGUAGGGUGCAAGCGUUAAUCGGAAUUACUGGGCGUAAAGCGUGCGCAGGCGGUUUUGUAAGACAGAGGUGAAAUCCCCGGGCUCAACCUGGGAACUGCCUUUGUGACUGCAAGGCUAGAGUACGGCAGAGGGGGAUGGAAUUCCGCGUGUAGCAGUGAAAUGCGUAGAUAUGCGGAGGAACACCGAUGGCGAAGGCAAUCCCCUGGGCCUGUACUGACGCUCAUGCACGAAAGCGUGGGGAGCAAACAGGAUUAGAUACCCGCGUAGUCCCUGUCUCUUAUAC